GCUAUUCCGGGGCACAGGAAGCGGCGGGGGGAGAUCGGUGAGAUCAGAUCCUGCGCAGCUGCCGGGCGUGGGGAGCCGAGCCCGGGCUCUGCCCCGCUGGGGAGUGUGGCCAGCCCAGCCCGGCCGGACUCUCUCCCUGGCCGGGGGUAGCCCCGGGGAAGUCCCGGGCUCUGGAGACAUCAACGCCUGAGUGGAGACUGCAGGUGACGACUUACUCCAUGUGGUACUAGCCCUCCGUCGACAUCAACUCCUGAGCCUAGGGCUGCCCUGGGGAUUAGCACCAGACGGAGAAGGUCCUCACCUGGGCUGGGCCCAGAGGGACUCUAGCAAUUGCAGGAGCUGAUCCAGCCAUGGGAGAGUGAAUUCCCCGAGCCAGAGGGGAAAGGAGAUAUAAAGGGCUAGAGGAGAGAGAGACUGAAGGGGGCAGCGGAAGAAACAGGUGGGAAUGGAGGUCCCCAGAUCUCUAGCCUAUGGAGACACUUAUUGCAGCAUCGCUGGGCAGAUUCGCUUUCCUGUUAACAAGGCUGCAGAAUAACGCCUGUGUUUCGCUCCAGCUCAUCCCACUUGCCCAUGGGACAGGGAAGGGAAAUGGUUUCAGUGGAGCCAGUUCAGGGGCCGGUGACCUUCGCGGAGGUGGCUGUGUAUUUCACCAAGGAUGAGUGGGCU